GCCUGAAAGAAGCAGGUGGACAAUAACAAAAAUAAUUGAAGAAAACAAAAAAAAAAAAACACUUGACGCAAGGUCAAAAAUAUCCACCGGUUUGAAAAGCACAGUACUUGUGAUUUUUUUUUUUUGACAUUCUUUGAUAGAACUGUUACAAAAAGACCUUCCCUCUUUGUUUCCAUCAUUGUUAUGUGAAAUCCACAGCUAAACAGAAAUUCUGUGUCCGUUUGGAAACUAAACUUUUUGUUUGUGGCUGUUAAUGAUGCUCCUGUUUGUUCAGUGCCAAAGGUUCCUUAUGCCUAAAGUUCCUUUAUUAACUACACACCAGUGCAGACAUUGUUACAGUGUGAUACUGUGGUCAGAGUAGAAGCAGAACUGAAUAAUUAGUUUUGCCAUUGAAGGAAAAUCGUCACACACACGGUGGUUUGUAGUCGUGUUCCUGAAACCGAAGGCUGAGAGAGUGUUGUCAACCCAGCGUAUACUGCAAACUCUUACAUGCAAAAUAACAUGAAGUGAUUUCAAAGCUACGCUGAUACUUGUAGCUGUUUCAUUUGUUCACAUACCUGCUGUGAACCAGCAGCAAAAAGGUCCAAAACAAUAGAUUACAGUAUGUAAAGCUGCUGCUGCUGCUGCUGAUGCAGAUGUAAACAAAACAUUCCUCACUUGGUGUUUAUUUUUUUCAAUAUCACACAAAAAUUGCAGUUAUUGAAACCAUCUUUGAGUCGUACCAUAAAAAAGGAAAAUCUUACCAAUACAAACAUGACAGUAUUUGUGUACAUUUGACGACCAUCUGUAGAUCUGCUAACACCUGCAGUAAUAAAGUCAACUGGUAAAAUCCUGUACUGCAGACAUGGUUUCCAUUAAAAAAAAAAAAA